CCCUUAGAUGUUCUGGGCCGCACGCGCGCUACACUGAUGCAUUCAACGAGUCUAAAACCUGCUCUGAUAGGGGUGGGUAAUCUUUUGAAUGUGCAUCGUGAUUGGGAUAGAUGAUUGCAAUUUUUCAUCUCCAACGAGGAAUGCCUAGUAAACGCAAGUCAUCAGCUUGCAUUGAUUACGUCCCUGCCCUUUGUACACACCGCCCGUCGCUCCUACCGAUUGAAUGAUCCGAUGAAUAUCAUGGAUUGAGGAUGCAAGUAGGUUAGCCUAUCUUCAUCUUCGAGAAGUGAAGUAAAUCUUAUCAUUUAGAGGAAGGAGAAGUCGUAACA
rnacentral:rRNA from 1 species